AGGAGAAGAGGAGGAAUUAAGAGGAAGCGACGGCAAAGAAGGGCAAAGGGAAGUGUAAAAAGGAAAUGGACAGUGAGAUGAGUGACCAGGAAGUGAAGAAGAAGAAAACAGGGAAAGGGAAAAGAACCAAGCAAACGCCAGUGAGACCAGUGAGCAUUGAGCAGGAAGAGAACCAACAAGAAGGGGCAUGAGUACACUGACGCGCACGACCAA